rnacentral:rRNA from 1 species
UACGUAGGGUGCAAGCGUUAAUCGGAAUUAUUGGGCGUAAAGAGCUCGUAGGCGGUCUGUCGCGUCGGAUGUGAAAGCCCGGGGCUUAACCCCGGGUCUGCAUUCGAUACGGGCAGACUAGAGUGUGGUAGGGGAGAUCGGAAUUCCUGGUGUAGCGGUGAAAUGCGCAGAUAUCAGGAGGAACACCGGUGGCGAAGGCGGAUCUCUGGGCCAUUACUGACGCUGAGGAGCGAAAGCGUGGGGAGCGAACAGG